rnacentral:ncRNA from 1 species
AAAUAAUCAAUGAUCAAGAGAGUAGAAGUAGAGCAUAUCUAACAGCGAGUAGGGGGAUGAGAGCCUAAAAGUGAUUCUAUUUUGAAGCGCACUUGUGAGAGUUUAUCUGAACUAAGAGUAGGAUAAGACGCCUACCUGCGUUAAGGGUUAGAGGGAAACAUAUUUUGUUAUAUGUUUAACUGGAGUGGUACCGCGGUCUUAAUCGUCUCUAGA